rnacentral:rRNA from 1 species
UUCGCAAUGCCCGAAAGGGUGACGAAGCGACGCCGCGUGCGGGAAGAAGGCCUUCGGGUUGUAAACCGCUGUCGGGAGUUAAGAAAUGCAAGGGUGUUAACAGCAUCCUUGCUUGACUAAGGCUCCGGAGGAAGCCACGGCUAACUCUGUGCCAGCAGCCGCGGUAAUACAGAGGCGGCAAGCGUUGUUCGGAAUUAUUGGGCGUAAAGAGCACGUAGGCGGCCGCGUAAGUCGGUUGUGAAAGCCUUCCGCUCAACGGAAGAACGGCAUCCGAUACUGCAUGGCUUGAGUGCGGGAGGGGAGAGUGGAACUUCUGGUGGAGCGGUGAAAUGCGUAGAUAUCAGAAGGAACACCGGCGGCGAAGGCGACUCUCUGGCCCGUAACUGACGCUGAGUGUGCGAAAGCUAGGGGAGCAAACGGGAUUAGAUACCCCGGUAGUCCUAGCCGUAAACGAUGGGCACUAAGUAGAGGGGUUUU